ensembl:lncRNA
GCUUGAUAAAGGACAGAAAUGGUAUGGACCUAACAGAAGCAGAAGAUAUUAAGAAGAGGUGGCAAGAAUACACGGCAGAACUGUACAAAAAAGAUCUUCACGACCCAGAUAAUCAUGAUGAUGUGGUCACUAAUCUAGAGCCAGACAUCCUGGAAUGUGAAGUCAAGUGGGCCUUAGAAAGCAUCACUACGAACAAAGCUAGUGGAGGUGAUGGAAUUCCAGUUGAGCUAUUUCAAAUCCUGAAAGAUGAUGCUGUGAAAGUGCUGGACUCAAUAUGCCAGCAAAUUUGGAAAACUCAGCAGUGGCCACAGGACUGGGAAAGGUCAGUUUUCAUUCCAAUCCCAAAGAAAGGCAUUGCCACAGAAUGCUCAAACUACUGCACAAUUGCACUCAUCUCGCACACUAGUAAAGUAAUGCUCAAAAUUCUCCAAGCCAGGCUUCAGCAAUACGUGAGCUGUGAAUUUCCAGAUGUUCCAGCUGAUUUUAGAAAAGGCAGAGGAACCAGAGACCAAAUUACCAAUAUCCACUGAAUCAUGGAAGAAACAAGAAAGUUUCAGAAAACAUCUAUUUCUGCUUUAUUGACUAUGAGAACAUUUCAGUUCAGUUCAGUUCAGUUGCUCAGUCGUGUCCGACUCUUUGUGACCCCAUGAAUCGCAGCACGCCAGGCCUCCCUGUCCAUCACCAACUCCCAGAGUUCACUCAGAUUCACGUCCAUCGAGUCAGUGAUGCCAUCCAUAGGAGGGGGUAAAAUUUGACCUCAGCCUUGAGGGUGGGGUGGGAUUCAGGUGUACUUCCCCGGUCACCCUCAGAGUUUGGUCCAUGCAGUGGAGCUGGGUACCACUGACACACAAAAUCCCUACACCCCAGGGGACACAGUUCUGAGUCAGCAGCCCUGGCUGCCCGCCAGCAUCCAAUCAGCUCUGCCACUGCAGAGAACCCCAAGCAGAGACCAUGCAACGACCUCAGAUGGAAGGACGUUGUUUUCUAACUCAGUCUGGGAUGACCAUCUGACAUCCUUUGGGAGUCAGGCGUAAACAAGCCUCUGACUGUCCUCAGAUGGGCUGCAGGUACACAGAAGGAGCUGCACUGAGGGCCAGGUGUCUCACUAGGAGCAGGGUUAGCUUGGGCAAAGCCUUCACACUUCACUUCCUAACUGGGGAUUUGGACAAACUGGCAUUUCACAUCUUAAGAAUCAUUGAAUCAUUGGC